UUGUGCUUGAUACUUGUGAUAUCUAAAUAUGUUAGUUGGGUCUGUUUAAAAUGCAGUAGCCCACAUGUGAGACAAGCUAAUCGCUAGCGUCGCUAACGGCUACAGUGAGUCAACUGAGCCUUUGUCCCUUUCAAAUGUGCUACUCUGAGUUGGUGCAAUCACACACCUGUGUGGGGAACAGCUAAUAGCGAUGGGCCUUCGAUCGGCGACAGGCAGGAAGCGGUGGAUCGAGCUUUUGUCCUGUUGACGUGCUGCCGCUCCUGUUUGUGUUGCGUUAGCCGUUAGCAUGCCUUUAGGCCUUUACACUUUAGAGCUACAGCUGGUCGAUCGCUACAAAAAAAAAACUGCAGAUGAACGCGGUUGUGUUUGUUAUUACCCCGUGCUGUGUCACAGCCUAAAUCAACUUGUGAUUUGGGGUUAUGUCAUUGUUCUAUCAAAUUCUAACAUGAUUAGUUGGAAUGAUUACUGUGUUGUGUUGCAAGCUUAGUUGCUAAUUAGUCACAUCUCUACAAUACCUGCUGCUUAUCUGGUCAGUUACCGAUAGCUUGUACCGUAGCCAUUAUAUUUGUAGGACCAAUACAAUUUACAGUAAAUGUAACAGUCUUUUCUAUACUGUAGGGAGCCACAUCCCAGUUACCUACAUGCAAGGAGGCUGUGAAACAGAGAAAUCACUGCAGACUGUUGGUACACAGACAUCUGCUGCCCAGCUCAGGAGUGAAGUACCUUUUGUUUUGAUGAGGUGAUGGUGAGGACAGCCACAGCUUCCAUCUGGUAGAGGACUGCUUCCGCUCAGUCUUCCAAAUAGUGAUGAGAACAAGGAUCACCUCAUCUCACUGUUUACCCUACUUUCAUGCAUUUCGUCUGCAAGGCCCUGCAAAAGCUUCUCCUUCGUCCUCAAUCCCCCAGACUUCUUAAUUAACUCAGUAACCUAUACAUUGCACAUUGGAGUGUGAAGGUAACAGUUUGUUCUAGCUUUGAAGUAGUGGUGUAUUUUUUUCGUUUACAAUAAAGUUGGCUUUAACUAUUA